ensembl:lncRNA
GGGGAGAGGAGAGGGUGGCUGAGGGUCUCUUUCUGUGGGGGGAGAGGAGAGGGUGGCUGAGGGUCUCUUUAUGAGGGAGAGGAGGAGAGGGUGGCUGAGGGUCUCUUUCUGUGGGGAGGAGGGAGAGGGUGGCUGAUGGUCUCUUUAUGUGGGGAGGGGAGAGGAGAGGGUGGCUGAUGGUCUCUUUAUGUGGGGAGAGGAGAGGGUGGCUGAUGGUCUCUUUCUGUGGGGAGGGGAGAGGGUGGCUGAUGGUCUCCAUGUGGGGGGAGGAGAGGGUGGCUGAUGGUCUCUUUAUGAGGGGAGAGGAGAGGGUGGCUGAUGGUCUCUUUAUGAGAGGAGGAGAGGGUGGCUGAUGGUCUCUUUAUG